GGUUGUGUAGUAGAGACCAACUAGUAUCUUGCUAUAGUAAACUUAAUUAUCAUUUAAUACAAAAAACAUAUUUACUACAAAUUACAAGCAGAAACUGCAUAUAUAUAGCUAAAAGGAAGGAUUCACUAGCAGAAAAUGUUGUGUUUAUUAUGACAAUGGAUCCUCGGGUUGUGUAGUAGAGACCAACUAGUUUGUGUACUGUUUACGUAAAGCUACGGCUGGUCUGGAGGCGUCGUGGUGCGAGGAAGGAAAUACGUAGGAAGAUCGGCGAUCUUAAAAGCCUUCCUGAAUCUCGAUGGAUCCGAAACGACGAUGAUUGGCAGUGCAAUGGACCCUAACAACACAAUGGAUAGGAGGUUGUGAUGCUCAAUGCCAGCACUGAAGAAUCCAGUGGGAGUAAAGUCCAGUACCAAGGAGAAGCACCU